rnacentral:lncRNA from 1 species
UAGUUAGAAUAAGAAAUUCCUAUUACUUAGUGCAUUUUUGUAAGUUACUUAGUUUAUUGGAUGGAGAAAGGGAGAUAUAAUUAAGCCUCUAGGGAACAGAAGGGUAUCUGGAGUAUUUUAUAAAUAUCAAUGAACUAACUGGGUUUUAAUUUACUGUUCAUUUGGAAUAUUGAGAUUUGUGUAAGAAUAAACAAGUGAAUUUGGGAUAAUUUUAGGGAGAAGAAUACACACAAGUAUUCAAAAACUGAAAACAUGAAUUAUAAGAUUAUCGGAUGUGUUAACAAGAUGGUCUAAGAUUACAUCUUCACUAUACUUGAAGACCAACUUAAGUGUGUUAAUAUGGUAAUUUAUUAAUUUAAAAUUUGCUCAUGGAAUGAUUGAGAUAUCAAUUAGGAUGAGAGUCAUUCAUAUAUGAUUUGGAGUCGAUGUAAAGCUAUUCUGAAUUUCUUAGCAAUUGGUGGAAAUUAUGAUUGAAUGAAUAGAAUUGUGUUAUAAAUGGCAGUUUGUGACAGAUCUUAUGGUUUAAGAGAAUACUUAAUUAGUUAGGUCCAUUCGAGGAAUGGUACAUUGCAACUCUGAUGUUGAAGGAUUCAAUGAGGAAUUAACCUUGUUUGGAGUAAAGAAUAUAGAGAGAACAUAAUUAUGGUUGAGGAUAUUCCUAGAUUGUAUUAGGUAUAAAUUUUACGAAUUUGGAGGUGAUAGACAAACUUGGAGAGAAAGAAUAACCCAACGAUAUUAUUAUCUGAAUAUUCUUAGGUAUUCAUGGGUAAGAAGAAACAUAAAACAAAGGACAUAGUUUAAUCAGGAGUUGGAUUAUAGGUUUAAUAUCCUUAAUCUCAUACUUAGCUAGAGCAAAAGGCACUACUUGUUUAGGAUAUCUGGAUACGUAGACCUAGGUAAAUUGGAUAUAAAAUACGGUUUGGAGAAUUUUACAUCUUGAGNN